rnacentral:lncRNA from 1 species
GUAGUGGCCACAGUGGCCACAUUGUGAGGUGGUCCGGGUAACAGGCAGGUGUGAUUGGGAUGGGAGGCAACAGAAGCAUUUGGGUGCAGUGGCCUCGUUUUGGGCUUUUCCUGCUCUCACCCCCUGCUGGGAUUUUCUUUUUUUUUUUUUUUUUUUUUUUACUACACCAUCAUGGGUAGUGCCUACCACUGGGAGGCUCGGCGUCGGCAGAUGGCAUUGGACCGGAGGAAGGCGUUAAUGGCACAGCAGCAAGAGCAGGAAGCAAAAAAACAGGAAGAGAAGAAACAGCAUUCUGAGAAAACAUCUCAGCCACAUCAGGAUUCAAAAGGGCCACAGCAGGAUGCAAAGGGGACACAGCAGGAUGCAAAGGGGACACAGCAGGAUGCAAAGGGGACACAGCAGGAUGCAAAGGGGACACAGCAGGAUGCAAAGGGGACACAGCAGGAUGCAAAGGGGACACAGCAGGAUGCAAAAUGCCCACCACCUACACAGCCACAGCAGCAGGCAAAGCCACAGGAGCAGGCACAAGCACAGCCACCUGGGCCAAAGUCACAAAAGGAGCACGACCCUCCUACACAGAGCACCUUCAAGGACAGCCUCCAGAAGGACACCCAAAAGCAAGGACCCCAGACUAGACUCUCGGGAGCUCAACAAGACGGCCAGCAAGCCUGUAAAGUGUGUGAUAAACCCCCAGUCCUUCCAGGCCCUGGUCUCACGAAUGUUUGCCAGCCUGCCUCUUCUAAAUAUUCCCGACUCACGUCAACUAAUUACAUCCAGCAGUGGUGAUCCAGAGAUGGACUCCAAGACCUGAUGAUACCACAAAGCAAAAGCAAAACCCAAAAAAACAAUCAACCGAACCACAAAACAAAAAACAAAACAAAAAAAAAAAAACAAAAAACAAAAAACCCAACAACAACAGAAAGACAGCAACCACACUCUCUUUCCACCCAGCAAUCUUUCUAAUCCAAAAAGCCAUUUGCGUUUGGAAAGGAGACUAGCUGGGAUUAAAAUGUGAUUCCUGGAGAGAACCAGGAGCCUGGUUAAUGAGC